CAGUAGCCGCGGUAAUACGUAGGUGGCAAGCGUUGUCCGGAAUUAUUGGGCGUAAAGGGCUCGCAGGCGGUUUCUUAAGUCUGAUGUGAAAGCCCCCGGCUCAACCGGGGAGGGUCAUUGGAAACUGGGAAACUUGAGUGCAGAAGAGGAGAGUGGAAUUCCACGUGUAGCGGUGAAAUGCGUAGAGAUGCGGAGGAACACCAGUGGCGAAGGCGACUCUCUGGUCUGUAACUGACGCUGAGGAGCGAAAGCGUGGGGAGCGAACAGGAUUAGAUACCCCCGUAGUCCCUGUCUCUUAUAC
rnacentral:rRNA from 1 species